rnacentral:rRNA from 1 species
GACGAACGCUGGCGGCGUGCCUAAUACAUGCAAGUAGAACGCUGAAGGAGGAGCUUGCUUCUCCGGAUGAGUUGCGAACGGGUGAGUAACGCGUAGGUAACCUGCCUGGUAGCGGGGGAUAACUAUUGGAAACGAUAGCUAAUACCGCAUAACAGUAGAUGUUGCAUGACAUUUGCUUAAAAGGUGCAAUUGCAUCACUACCAGAUGGACCUGCGUUGUAUUAGCUAGUUGGUGAGGUAACGGCUCACCAAGGCGACGAUACAUAGCCGACCUGAGAGGGUGCUCGGCCACACUGGGACUGAGACACGGCCCAGACUCCUACGGGAGGCAGCAGUAGGGAAUCUUCGGCAAUGGACGGAAGUCUGACCGAGCAACGCCGCGUGAGUGAAGAAGGUUUUCGGAUCGUAAAGCUCUGUUGUAAGAGAAGAACGAGUGUGAGAGUGGAAAGUUCACACUGUGACGGUAUCUUACCAGAAAGGGGCGGCUAACUACGUG